rnacentral:pre_miRNA from 1 species
CCUCGGCCCGGUUCAAGUAAUCCAGGAUAGGCUGUUCCAGCCCGGCCUGUUCCCGGUUACUUGUCCCGGGAGGCGG